rnacentral:rRNA from 1 species
UGGGGAAUUUUGGACAAUGGGGGCAACCCUGAUCCAGCAACGAUGCGUGGAGGACGAAGGUUUUCGGAUUGUAAACUCCUUUUGAGAGGGAAGAAAAAAAUGACGGUACCUCUCGAAUAAGCCACGGCUAACUACGUGCCAGCAGCCGCGGUAAGACGUAGGUGGCAAGCGUUACUCGGAAUUACUGGGUGUAAAGGGAGCGUAGGCGGGAAUGCAAGUUGAAUGUUUAAUCUAUGGGCUCAACCCAUAGUCGCGUUCAAAACUGCAUUUCUUGAGUGAAGUAGAGGUUGGCGGAAUUCCUAGUGUAGCGGUGAAAUGCGUAGAUAUUAGGAGGAACACCAGUGGCGAAGGCGGCCAACUGGGCUUUUACUGACGCUGAGGCUCGAAAGCGUGGGGAGCAAACA